AUGGUCUGGGAAAAGGCUCCUAUGUUGUUGAACCUGCCCAGUUGUGGGUGUGCAGCCCAACUCUGACCUGAGUAAAUUCCCAGAAGUCUUUCCUGUAUUUUGAAUUUGUAGUAACAGCUGUGGGCAUUCUAGCAGCAGUUCGAUGAUCAUAUAUGAUACCGCAAACAGGA
ensembl:scaRNA